rnacentral:rRNA from 1 species
GCGAACCCCUAUUGUUAGUUGCCAUCAUUCAGUUGGGCACUCUAGCGAGACUGCCGGUAAUAAACCGGAGGAAGGUGGGGAUGACGUCAAAUCAUCAUGCCCCCUUAUGACCUGGGCUACACACGUGCUACAAUGGUUGGUACAACGAGUUGCGAGUCGGUGACGGCGAGCUAAUCUCUUAAAGCCAAUCUCAGUUCGGAUUGUAGGCUGCAACUCGCCUACAUGAAGUCGGAAUCGCUAGUAAUCGCGGAUCAGCACGCCGCGGUGAAUACCGUUCCCGGGCCUU